rnacentral:lncRNA from 1 species
AGGGACUAACUAAUUCUGGAUAGGGAAAAUUUUGCUUACAUAUUGCAAGCAUUCAGUGGCUGUUUCCUCCCCCAUUUAAGGUGGCAAUAAGUGCUUUUAACUGAGGUGCCCGCUAGUUAGUAGAGUUUUCCCUCUAAACAAGUCUCAUAUGCAUGUGUUCACAACAUUCUUUUCAUUCAAGAGCUAACUAAGAAUAUACUUACUCAAACACAUGGACCACCUCUUUUAUGAGGAAAACAUACAACUUUAAACCAUUGCUUAUUGUCCAAGUAAUAUGGUUCAAAAGGAGACUAGGUCAUAAAUGGUAUAUUCAAUAUCAAUCUCAAUACUUAUUGGCAGGAUUCAAUCUCAAACCUCCUAUGCGAUCACAAGAAACUUCACACUACUGAGCUAGUUGAUACACCAAAAAGUUGUUUUCACAAGAACAUAUAUACACAAAACUAUGAAAAAAAUGUGAUGAUAAGCAUACAACAUUCAUGCUACAACCUCCCAAAUCUAAACAUACUAGUGUCAUAUUAAUACCAACAAAAUCACGGCAUACACAUGCUCAUAGAUGUCAAUUUGUAGUACAUACACACAUUUUGCUCAGAGGUUAGAGACACUAAGUUAAGAAGAGACCAAAAGGAAUGAUACAAGGUGACUUACCAAUGUCCCAUAUAAAGGAAUCUUGUGUGGAAUUUGUUCAGCACAAUUAAUAAUAUACUGCCAACAUGAAGAGUGUUAAAAAAAAUGAUAUUGUUUAACAAAAUAAUCCAUAAAACUGGAAACGAAGAAACCAAAUGAAAAAACUGAAACCUCCAAUAACAUACUAACACAAGCGUGCAAUCAAAUUUAAGUUCAUCUUCCAAUUUUCUAAAAAAUAAAACAAGAGGAUACAGUAGUUUCAAAAAUUUAGGCUUACAUGUGGAACAUCGUCAGAAGAGUGCUCGAGUUCUCGCCGAAUUACGCCGAAGCAUGUUUCCUGCAAAAGCAAGUUUCAGAAACAAAGAAUCAAACACACGUGCACUGCACAUGCUAGCAACGGAAAACGAAACCCCUAAAUAGGGUUUUUGACAAGACAGAAAAAAAAAUAGAAAAAAAAAGAUAGAAAAUGUGAAAGCGAAAGGAGAGUAAGAACGGACAAUGUGAUCCUUCAAGUCGUCGGAGUUGCCGUACUCCGGACAAUUGUCGCCGAUUUUAAGCAGAAGGUUCUUCCAGCUGCUCAUUUCUUAAUCUCUUGUUCCGUGAGAGAAGCAGAAGCAGAGGAAGAGGAAGAGCCAGCAGUUUAGUAAGAAGAAGGGGAUUUGCAGGGUUUUGUGGCAAAUUGGAUUCCAAUUAACUUGAACCCUAACGGAGCCGGUCCAGCCCGGUUGGAACUUACCCAGAAUAUUUAUAAAAUAGUUUUUAGGUAAACAAAAUAAACCAGAGAAGCAUAAGGGGCACAAGUGCACAACAAUGUUGGACAAGCCACGUAUGGAAGGGCAGCGUUUGUGGAUGGUAAAUGGGCUGGCCGAUUCGGACUUUCAGGUUAGCUGGGGCAGGCUUAAUUCAGACACGGUCCAGGGUCGGGUCGGGACGGAAUUUAGCCCAGGCUUGCAUGUCGAAUUUUUUCAGAAUGUUUCAAAUUUAUUUAUUAUUUUUUAAAUAAAAAAGUUCAGUGCUUCCUCUGCUUCCCAACAAUGCCAAAGCAACAGCAACAACAACAACUAACCCAUUUUAGUUUCUCUGAUAUCUUCAAAUCUUUCACCUUUUUUUUUUUUUUUUAACAAAAGGCAUUAGGAUUUUCUCCUUAUAUAUCUUUAGUUUUUAAAGCUGAUGAAUGCUGGCCGUUGGAUUCAGCCAAAUGGAAGGCACACUACCAAAAAUCCAGGAGUGCUGGUAAGAAAAUAUAUUUUAUAUGUGCAGUACAUUCACACUUAAUCGCAAUUUUUAAGUUAAAGUUUUGAAUAAAAUCGUGUGAAAUCAAGCAUAAUAGAUGACGUGCCAUUUGUUCAUAAAAGUAGAAAUGUCACGCUGACUACGCAAUUUCAGGAGGAGUGACAUGUCUUUCAGAGAGAAUGACAAACGAUGAGUCAGCUACGCAUGUCGGCUACGUUAACCGUGAAGGACGACAUGCUGUAUGAAACCUCGUUAAGUGAAGACUCGUCGUCUUCGUAUUUACUUAGUGGAUGACUCGUCGUGUCCGUCUCGGUAUGUGUGCGUGUAUAUUUUUUAUUGACUUCUUUUGAUUUUUAUUAAACAUAUAAUAUACGACAUGCCAUUCAUGCUAUAAACCUUUAGACAACAUGCCGUCCAAUAUAAUACACGAAAAUAAGGUUUUAUUUAGGUAAAAUAACAUGGUUUACUGGGGAAAUAGAUGUUAAAAGCAUGCAAAUUCGGCGAUUAGUCGGAAAUUGUUAAUUUUUUCUUACGAUAAUUAUAAUUUUGACAGAACAAUCACCACAUUAAACAACCUAAAAAUAUAAACUGAAUUGAUUUCAACGAGAAUAAGAGAAAAAUAUAUAUAUAAUGAGAUACGCGGGCAACUAGAGAAAUUGGGGGUUGAGAUAACAAUAAUUUAAUCUUUAAAGCCGAUGAAUGCUGGCCGUUGGAUUCGGCCAUUGGCUAAUAUUGAAUUUUGAUAUAAUAUAUAUAAUGUAUAUAUUUCAUUUUUAGAGAAAUGAGAACAGUAUCCGGGGAACUCGAACAAAUGGCUUCAACCUUCUGCACCACUAACCCACUGUUACAAGGCCAAAAUGAAAAAUCUCUCAUAGCUUUGCAAUAAUUGCUUGUGGGUUCAAAUAUGGUAAUAUGCAAUCUGAUCUCAUAUGGGUUUCAAUUUGCUUCAGUUAGUUGCAGUUUGUCUGGUGAGAGAGAGAGCAUUUUCGGGGGGUCCCAACAUAUUCUGAAACAAUUGUUUGGGCAUGUGAAUUUGCACAUGCAAAAUGGCCCCAUUUGAUUUAUAAGCGCACAUGGAUGAGAUAAGAGCCCUAACAGCCCCACCACUACUUUAAAACAAGGAAAAAAGCUAAUUACCAAAAACUUUAUAGCAACUGCACUAUAAGUACCAUUCACUUCCUUCAGAACUUUUCACACCCAACUCCCUCAUCACUCAAAUCCACUUCAAGCUCUUAUCGUUGUGUUGUUUCUUCUCCAAAGAAUAAUGGCUAGAAUGCUGAGAAUUGUCGUGUUAUUUGUGGCAUUGAUGGUUGUUUUAGUGGCACAAAACCAGGUAAGUUGCUUAUGCAGCAUAUUCUUUGGAUUAUCAAAAGUUCAUUACUUAUUUUUUCCUUUUUACUUUUUUUACUUUCUAAGUAACUCUCACUGAAUAAGAAAAAUUUAUUAGAAAGAAACAAAAAAUGAAUGAAUAAAUAAAUAAUUCCGGACGAUAUGAUGAACUGAUCUUGUUAUCUCAUAGAAUAGAAUUAAAUCCGGGGAAAAACAAAAAUUCAUGAUUGUAUGUAUAGCAUGGUAGUAUGGUAUAAUAUGCAUUUUUUUUUCUAUAAAAGGGAAUUUGUGUAUGAAAUCAAAUUGUUCAAGAACUCUUUGAUAUUAGUUCCAAAAAUUAGCUAAAAUGCACUGAAAUUUGAAGCUUAUAGCUAAGUGGGAUUCAAAUACAGAUAUAAAGUAAACAAAAGUUAGAAAAAAAAAAGGGGUAGAAAAAUUGAACUUAAAACAGACAUGCUCAUAAUGCAGAUAUAUGCAAAAUCGCAGCUUACCUUCUAAUACUAAUCAAAAUUAAACUGAAAAGGACAGAACACUGAAAGAGGACCACAAAUUGUACAACUCCUGUUAAAUUAUUAAUUAUCAUAAUUAUUGGUUGUUACCGCUGCUUCUCUUUAAUUUUUUUUUUGUUUGAUUUUUAUUUUCUUAUUUGAAAUUAAUAUUUUCAAUUUGUUUUCUUUAGGCUGCGGGCACAGGAAUUGCCGCACCUCAGCUACAGCCACAAGGCAAUCGCCCUGCGGUAAUUUCAACUCAUAAAGUGCUUCUAAAUAAGUAGCCUCUCUUCAUUUUGGCUUAACUCUUUUAAAUUCAUUGGACUCCAUGCAGCGUGGCACCACCCAAGGGAGCCUUAAUCCUCAAGGUAAUUUAUUUUGCACAUCAAACUUAUAAUCCGGAAUAAGGAUUUAGUAAUGAGUUGAAUUUUUAUUGAGCACUGAAUCAAUAAUUAUUAGGUAAGAGAAAUAAAAAUAAAUAAAAAAUCAAAAUAAAUCUUAAUAAUUAAUUCAAUGAUUAGUCAAAAAAAAAAGUUCCAACACUGAAUUCUAAUUCUAUAAUCUUAUAUGUAAAACUUAAAAUUACCAUUUACGUUAAAAUGGAAAACAGGCGUCGAUAUACUUCCUAGUAGCUAAUUAUCAAAAGGUGAUUUUUAAUAUGCAGAAUGUGCUCCAAAAUGCGAUUAUAGAUGCUCAGCAACUUCAUACAAGAAGCCGUGCCUGUUUUUCUGCCAAAAAUGUUGUGCAAAGUGCUUAUGUGUGCCGGCAGGCACAAAUGGGAACAAGCAAACGUGCCCUUGCUACAACAACUGGAAGACAAAGAGAGGAGGACCAAAAUGCCCUUGAAUUAAUAGUAUCAGUUUAUAGUAAUAAAAUUCUCUAUCGACACUAAUCAGUUAUAUAUUUCCUAUAAUGCUUAUUUUGCUAUUGUAGCCAAUCUUUCUUGUGCUCGUAUAUAUAGCAAGCACAAGUAAUGCAUUUUUCAAUCAAUUAUAGAAUAUAAUCUUGGUCUAAUUAUUCAAGGGCAUAAUUACUUACUAAACUAGAUAAACCACUUUUACCUAACAGAUAAAUAUUUUUAUGGGUUAUUAUCAUUUCAAUUUUACCUAACAGAUAAAUUGACAGACAAGUUAACACUGAAUUCAAUAUAAAGGAUCAUAACUUCAACUCAUCGGGCAGGGGUGAGGUCUUGAAUUCUUCAACUCGUGGCAUAAUUUCAAUUAAAUUCACAGGAUAACAGCUUAAAUAAUGAAUGCAAUUUUAUGGUUUUUUUUUCAGUCUAGUGGCGCCACUCGGUCAUAUUCAUUAUGUCCGUUAGAUUUUACUGUUGCAAAUCCAACGGUGACUACAGAACCAGAAAGAAAUGGCUGCCCCUUUCUCACCGUUAGUUAGGGCCCAAUUAUAGCAAAAGUUUCUUCCAAUAUGACACGCGUCCAAUUUCAUAAACAAAACAUUUGAUUUUUUGAGAAUAAAAUUUUGAACCGAAUUGGAACAAUUUUUCUUUUUUUUUGACAAUCGACUUUUGGGUUUUUCAUUUUUUGUGAAAAAAUUGCAAAAUCGCAGCAAACUGAUAGUUUUCAAUUUCGCUUCGAUUAUGCCAAUCCUUUGGUUAACCUUUUUUUUUUGGUAAACAACUAAAAGUCUAAAACGUUACGUAUCUGUUUAGUUUCUUUCAUUAUUAUCGUUAUUUUGUUUCCUAAAAUGAUAUAAAACUGAUUUGUCCUUACACAAUUACAGAUAUUAAAAUAAAUGGAGAAGAAUUCUUGGUAGUACUUGCCAACCAGGAAGAACUGUUAUUCACUUUGAUAAUGACUAAUAAUUAAUAAACCUUCUAAAUAUGAAAAAAGGAAAUGGAUUGAAGGAUAAGGCUCAAUAAUCAGCCAGAAGAUUUUAAACAUUUUUCUACCUUUUUAGUCAAUCAGAUUAAAAAAAUACUCCAACGAAAGAUUAUUAUUCAAACUUGAUUAUCCUAAUUUGCCAAAGUACGUACCUAACUCCCUCACAUUCAAAUUAAUUAAAAUUGACUAAUUGAGCCCUCCAACUCCCCUUUCUCUCUAUAUAUAGCUCGAAUAAUAUCAAAGCUUUAACAUAAUUAGUUGCGUAACAAGAUUUUGACAAAGAAAAAUUAAUAUAGCCACAGUGUUCAGAAAAGAUAUGGCUUCUUUGGUUACUCGUUUGGUGUUGGCCAUGGUGGUGAUUGCCGGAACCCUAAUGUUCGGCAACGUUCGGGUGUCGGCGCAAUGCGGAGGAAGUAUCCCUCAACUUGUUGCCCAAUGCUCGCAGUUCGUCAAAAAAGAGGGACCACAAAUCCCUCCGUCCUCCGGUUGCUGUUCUGCGGUGAAAGCUGCUGACGUCCCUUGUGUUUGCGCCCUCGUUACGCCGGCUAUAGAGAAGAUUAUCAGCAUGGAGAAGGUGGUCUACGUAGCUCGUACUUGUGGCGUCACGGUUAAACCCGGCACAAAAUGUGGAAGUGAGUUUCUUUGUUGAAACCCUAAUCAAACUUCUAGUACGUACCAUGUGUGUACACAUGCAUGUUUUUAUCAUAUACUUACGGAUUUUUUUUUUUUUGAAAUCACGAUUUCGAUAUUUCAGGCUACACGGUUCCACCAAAAAGACUGAUAUAAGAUCGAGGUGUUGGCUAGAGCUGCAAAAAACUAAAUGUUGUUACAUUAAUUUCCCUUUGAAUAAUGAGAAAUGUGAUAAUU